rnacentral:sRNA from 1 species
AUGUAAACAUUUGCAGUAAAAAUCCUUUUAUGUUUUUGCUGCCAAAAACAUAAAAAAUUGCAACGAAUAGCAGGAAUAGCU